UCGAGAAUCAUUCACAAUGGGGGAAACCCUGAUGGUGCGACGCCGCGUGGGGGAAGAAGGUCUUCGGGUCGUAAACCCCUGUCAUGUGGGAGCGAGCAGCGAUGUAGAUAGUACCACAAGAGGAAGCCCCGGCUAACUACGUGCCAGCAGCCGCGGUAAUACGUAGGGGGCAAGCGUUGUCCGGAAUUACUGGGCGUAAAGAGCACGUAGGCGGUAACCUAAGUCAGAUGUGAAAGACCAGGGCUUAACUCUGGGGUUGCAUACGAAACUGGGUAACUAGAGUGCAGGAGAGGAAAGUGGAAUUCCUAGUGUAGCGGUGAAAUGCGUAGAUAUUAGGAGGAACACCAGUGGCGAAGGCGGCUUUUUGGACUGUAACUGACGCUGAGGUGCGAAAGCCAGGGGAGCGAACG
rnacentral:rRNA from 1 species